rnacentral:lncRNA from 1 species
GAUGAUGAUGGUGAUGCUUCUUUGUACUGGACAAGGCCUCCAUUUUGAAACGUGAAGGUUUACCUUUGACAAAAGCAUGCUUUCUCCGCGCUUCGAACUCCAAAACUGUGCUUUUAGAGGUUUGGGAGUGGCUGAGCCAAGCCUGUGCUGCUGCUUUCAUCAGCUCCACUCUCUUCUUCUCUUCUUCGUUUUCAUCUUUAGCCUCUCGUUUCUUCCUCAUCUGUUUCCUUCUCCAUUUGGGAGGGGACUUUUGGGGCUCUAAGCUAUUAUUAUGGACCCAAUUUUAUGUCAGCUUUAAAUGGCAGCCUUAUGUUUCUUGUCCGAAUCUGCUAACUUCUGUCCGUCUCAUCCUUUUCCAUUUAUUUCUUUUUAAUUUUUUCAAUACAUUUGUUGUAUAAUAAAAGGUGGGAGAUGACUUAGAAUGUAAUAAAAAGAUGAAAAGUAUUUUAGAGUGAAAAUAACUCAGGGAAAAAUGCCAAUUUCGAUCCCAACUAUUUCAGUCGUGCCAAAUACGACCCGAACAAUUGAUCAGUGCCAAAUACGACAUCAACUCAAUUAUAAUUCAAAAAAACUACCAGAACUUCUUAAAACGUGCCUAAAUCUACAUUGACUCUAACAGAAGUUAGUCAACCGUUAAAAAAUAAAACGAUGUCGUUUUGAUAUACGAGGAAAAGUGUCAAUUUCGACCCAAACACUCUCAGUCGUGCCAAAUAAGACCCGAACAAAUGGUCAGUGCCAAAAACGACCUCAACUCAAUUAUAUUUUAAGAAAAAUUACCCAAUUUUUUUAAAACGUGUUUAAAUCUACAUUAACUCUAACAGAAGUUAAUCAACCUUUAACAAAGAUAAGACGACGUUGUUUUGAUAUAUGUAUUUUCUUAAAAAAAUAUGUUCAUUUUGGGAUUCAAAUCCGUGCUGGGAUAUCCUUUUAAAGGGGCACACUAACAACUAGACUAAAAUAAUUUUUUGAAAUAUUAUUACAAAUUGAAAUUCUCCAUUAUAUAAACUACUAUUCUUCUUCAUCUUAUCCAAUUUAAAACUUUGGUGAUUGCUUUAUACAUUUUAGUUAUUGUUUAAUUUGUCUAAUAUUUUGUACAACAUAUCUUAGUGAAAGAAAGGUAAAAGGCCUCUUAACAUUUUUGAACAAAAUAUCAAAAUAUAUAAUAUCAACUUUGAAAACUAAAAAAAUUCCCACUUAAUUUUAAAAAUUAAAAAUAAUUUAUAUAAGAAAAUUGUAUAAAUAAAUUCAAAGUUGUAAGCAUAUUUAAGAUCGUAUAAUAAUAAAUAUUUUAUUAUUUAUAUUUUAGUAAGAUAUAAUUUUAUUAAAGAUAUGAUAAAUAAGAAAAACACGUUAAUGUAUUUAUAUAAAUCAGAAAAAAUUGUCACCAAAAUUUUAAAUUGGAUAAGAUGAAGAAUAAUAAUAGUUUAUAUAAUUUCAAAUUUGUAAUAGUAUUUUAUCUAUUAUCUUCUAGAAGCACAAACCCUAAGAAAUAUUUAAAAAAUGUAUUUAUUUUACCCAAAUUCAUAUUUUUUCUCCCAUAUGGUGCUUAAUCGUGAUCCCUAAUCUUGUUUUGUUCUUUUAAUUUGUUUAUUUGCAUGUUGUUUGAUUCAUUUUAAGUGAGCUUUGUGUUCAUUGCAGGUGAGUUAUGGAGGUGUGCUUAGGCGCUUCAGGGUGCCUUUCAAAGCUAAUGGACAGCUUGAUCUUGACAUGGCUUCUCUUAGGGGAAAGAUUGCUGCUUUGUUUAACCUCCCUCUGGAUGCUGAGUUCUCUCUCACUUACUCUGAUGAAGAUGGGGAUGUGGUGGCCCUUGUUGAUGACAACGACCUCUUCGAUGUCACGAAUCAGCGUCUUAAGUUCUUGAAGAUUACUGUGCAGUCGAACGCUGGUGUGCCGACCAACUCUGUUGCUCCAGAGAGCAGUGGGAGUUCGUCAGCCUCGGUUAUGCCUGAUAGCCAGGACCCGGUUUCUAAGAUCCAGAAGGGUUUCAAUGAUGUUAUGAUGGCUGUGCCGAACCACAUGCGUGAUACCAUUUCCAAGGUGUAUAUUGACCUUACAUCUAAGGCGGCGUCUUCGAGCCCUGUGGUUGGUGAGCUGUUUGAUUGCAUCAACAAGCUAGGGAAGCUCUCAAGCCCUCAGGAAAGUAGUCCUUGCUCUCCUGUUACUAAGCCUGGCUCGUCAGGGCCUUCUUUGAGCAGGGAGGUUCCUUCCGCUGGUGAAAAGAAGGAUGUAUCUAAGAAGACCCAAGCUGGAAAAAAACCUGUUGCUGAUUCAACCUCCUCUGGACUUGGUGCUAGUUUCAACGAGUGUCCCUUCAGUGGCAGUACCGUGAUUGAUUCCACUCCAAAUCCAAAUCCAACGAAUCUCAACAGGCAUGCCCGUCGUGUAUGUCACUCCAAAAAGACCAACAAUGGUGAUUACUGGAACUCACUGGGUGUCUUCCAUAAGGGUAUCCGUUGUGAUGGAUGUGGAGUUCUUCCAAUAACUGGGCCUAGAUUCAAGUCUAAAGUGUAAGGAGAUCUCUUACUUGCAAAUGUAGAAACUGCAGAUACAUCUUUCGAGUUUAUUAUGCUUACUUGUUUCUCUGGUGAAUAUUUUGCAGCAAAGAAGACUAUGAUCUUUGCACCAUCUGUUUUUCCGUGAUGGGCAAUGAAGGGGAUUAUACAAGAAUGGAUAAGCCCGUCUCAGCUCAACAGCUACAUCCCUUCAGAGGACUUCCUACCCCAGUAUUACUCUUUUUCUGUGUUUAAGUUUCCUUUUCUUCUAUACCUUUUCUUUCUGUAUUUACAGCUAUAUGGAGAUCUUACGUUUCUUCCUUUCUUUCAUAUAGUUUUCAAAUCCUUGGUUGGGACAUGUGCCGCGACCACACCACGGAGGUUUACAUUUCAGGUGUACUCGGCCUAAGCUAGACAGUCGCUUUGUCCUUGAUGUCAAUGUACUUGAUGGAACCGUUGUUGCUCCAUCUGCCCCAUUCACCAAGAUCUGGAAAAUGAGGAACAAUGGUUCGCUGGUGUGGCCACAUGGCACGCAGAUCGUUUGGAUCGGUGGGGACAGAUUCAGCAGCUCUUUGUCAGUUGAUUUACAGGUUAGAAACUAUAUCCUUAGUUUUGCCAUUUAUUUUGCUUGAUACCUACCCUGAAGUUCCACUUACAGAUCAAUCAUGAUGUUUGAAGUUGCUCUUAGUGGCUUGAGUUAGCUUCUUCUCUACAGAAAGUGGCAAUAGUUUCUUUAUAUAUAUAUACAACACUAAUUUUUUAUUGGUGUCAGCAGAUUCCAGUGGAGGGUGUGCCUAUCAACAGUGAGCUUGACGUGAAAGUUGAAUUUGUUGCACCAGAGUCACCUGGCCGAUACAUAUCUUAUUGGAGGAUGGCUUCCUCUAAUGGUGCCAAGUUUGGGCAACGUGUUUGGGUGUUGAUACAUGUACUGGCUAGAUCUCUGCUGCCAUUUUCCUGGAAUUUUGUUUUUCUCAAUCAUCUGAUUUUUUUUUUUUUGCUGGUUGCGUGGUCAGGUUGAUGCAUCCUUGAAGGGCUCUGUUGUGAACGAGUUUCAUGGACUGAACUUGAAUGCCUCUCCUGAAGAAAAUUUCGCAAGAGAAUUUUCAGGGAUCAAUGUGAAUCAUGUUCCAGCUCAGCCUGGUAGCCCCAGUGUUAACCCUGGGAUAGUGAAAGGUGCUGAUGUUGAACCAGAAGCUUCUUCGGGAUCAAACAUUCCGAUGAAAGAUGACCUGGUGGUUGGUGAAGUUGAGCCUGUUGUUCCUAACACUGUUGUGCCUAACACUCUUACUCCAUCUUCAUCUUCGUCAUCAUUCAACAUAAUCGAGUUCCCAAAUAUGCCUACUACUGUUGAGGCCUUGGGUGGCGGUUCCUCAUCUGCAAAGAACAUCCCCGUUCCUCUACAAGAGGAUAUUGAGAAGAAUGACGUCGAGAUAACCAUGCUCAAGGAGCUGGAGGAGAUGGGUUUCAAAGAGAUUGAUCUGAACAAGGAAAUCCUGAGGGACAACGAGUACAACUUGGAGCAGUCUGUUGACGCUCUCUGUGGAGUUAAAGAGUGGGAUCCUAUCCUAGAGGAGCUUCAGGAAAUGGUAAGUGUGAAUUGAAGAUUGGAAAACCAGAUUGAGAGGGAUGUUUGACAAUGUGAUAAUUUCUGCAGGGGUUCUGUGAUGAUCUGACGAACAAGAGGCUGCUGAAGAAGAACAAUGGAAGCAUUAAAGGCGUGGUGAUGGAUCUUCUCACUGGGGAGAAGGAGAAGGAGGCUUAGUGUGGCGUUCGAUUCUGGGAGAACUUUUAUCUAUAUCAGGACAAAGGUUAUGUUUUAUAAAUAAUAAAAACCUGAUGAUGAUGUAGUGUGGUUUCGAACUUUGGUGUGUUCCUUUGCUUCUUUCUUUCGUGUUGGAUGUGGAUGAUAUGAUGUUACUACUAAUCUUAAAUAAGUAUAAGACUUUAUUUAUGCUAUCAUCAAUCUUCUUAUUUUGAAUGCAACCGUGUCUUUGUUAUCGAUUUCAUUCACUUGACCGCCCUCUCCUCCAUGUCCAGUUGAUUACAUUUUUGCUUUUGAUUCUUACAUGCAAUUUAUAUUAUUCCUGAACGUAGUGAUUCAUUCACCUGCACGACUUUAUCUUUAUGAAAAAACUGCUGGCAACCAAAUGAGUAAAUUGAAGAUAAUCAAUAUGGAAUUCACUUUCUUUUCUACGUUUACAAGUUUGAAGGAGUAAGUAAUUGCAUCUUGACUUUGUUUAAAAUCUCCUGGACGAACGAUUAAACAAACUCCUAAGGCUAUUUCUGCUGUCCCUAUUUUUCUUCUUGAUGGCCUUAUCCGCAGAGAAAGUAUGCUCUUCCAAAGUGAGUGCCCGUUCCAGUUUCUUAGAUACAGAAAGAAUCUCGUACGGAUCCCACAAGGACUGUCCAUACUCCCAAUCCAAGAACGAAGGAUGAUGAUGGUGAUGCUUCUUUGUACUGGACAAGGCCUCCAUUUUGAAACGUGAAGGUUUACCUUUGACAAAAGCAUGCUUUCUCCGCGCUUCGAACUCCAAAACUGUGCUUUUAGAGGUUUGGGAGUGGCUGAGCCAAGCCUGUGCUGCUGCUUUCAUCAGCUCCACUCUCUUCUUCUCUUCUUCGUUUUCAUCUUUAGCCUCUCGUUUCUUCCUCAUCUGUUUCCUU